rnacentral:rRNA from 1 species
CCUACGGGAGGCAGCAGUGGGGAAUAUUGGACAAUGGGCGAAAGCCUGAUCCAGCCAUGCCGCGUGUGUGAAGAAGGUCUUCGGAUUGUAAAGCACUUUAAGUUGGGAGGAAGGGUUGUAGAUUAAUACUCUGCAAUUUUGACGUUACCGACAGAAUAAGCACCGGCUAACUCUGUGCCAGCA